rnacentral:rRNA from 1 species
UACGGAGGGUGCAAGCGUUAUCCGGAUUCACUGGGUUUAAAGGGUGCGUAGGUGGGCAGGUAAGUCCGUGGUGAAAUCUCUGAGCUUAACUCAGAAACUGCCGUGGAUACUAUUUGUCUUGAAUGUUGUGGAGGUGAGCGGAAUAUGUCAUGUAGCGGUGAAAUGCUUAGAUAUGACAUAGAACACCAAUUGCGAAGGCAGCUCACUACACAAUUAUUGAUGCUGAGGCACGAAAGCGUGGGGAUCAAACAGG